AUACAGGGGGUGCGAGCGUUAAUCGGAAUUACUGGGCGUAAAGCGCGCGUAGGCGGUUUCGUAAGACAGAGGUGAAAUCCCCGGGCUCAACCUGGGAACUGCCUUUGUGACUGCGAGGCUAGAGUACGGCAGAGGGGGGUGGAAUUCCACGUGUAGCAGUGAAAUGCGUAGAGAUGUGGAGGAACACCGAUGGCGAAGGCAGCCCCCUGGGCCGAUACUGACGCUCAUGCACGAAAGCGUGGGUAGCAAACAGGAUUAGAAACCCCAGUAGUCC
rnacentral:rRNA from 1 species